rnacentral:snRNA from 1 species
GGAUGUAAGGGUUGUCUGGCUGCAAUAUCUGUCACCCCCUUGAUUACCAGGGUUGAUCUGGCUGGGUAGUUGGGUGUACCCUUCCUUCCUCACCACUCCAUGUGUGUCCCUCCCAAAGCUGCACACUCAGUUAAAGAGGACAACUUUUCCUGAAUAGAAGAAGACUGGUCUUUGCUCAAGGGUAUACAGGUAGCUAUGCUUCCCUGCUAGAACCAUCAAACCCUCAAAUACAUAGUUUUUUUUUUUACUCAAGUAAAUUUGAGGUGGAAAUUCUUAACUAUUAUUGAUUUGGUUAUUAUAUAUGUAUACUGUCCCCUAUU